GACGAACGCUGGCGGCGUGCUUAACACAUGCAAGUCGAACGCUGAAGCUCAGCUUUUGUUGGGUGGAUGAGUGGCGAACGGGUGAGUAACACGUGAGUAACCUGCCUCCUUCUUUGGGAUAACGCCCGGAAACGGGUGCUAAUACUGGAUAUUCACUGGUCUUCGCAUGGGGGUUGGUGGAAAGGGUUUUUCUGGUGGGGGAUGGGCUCGCGGCCUAUCAGCUUGUUGGUGGGGUGAUGGCCUACCAAGGCUUUGACGGGUAGCCGGCCUGAGAGGGUGACCGGUACAAUUGGGACGGGGUUACGGCCCGGACUCCUACGGGGGGAGGCGGUGGGGAAAAUGGCACAAGGGGGGCAAGCCUGAGGCGGCGAGGCCGCGUGGGGGUUGGGGCCUUUCGGUUUGUGAACCUCUUUGGCUCAUGGUCAAGCCGCAACAAUGGUUUUGGUGAGGUAGUGGGUAAAGAAGCGCCGGCUAACUACGUG
rnacentral:rRNA from 1 species